GCAAAUUCGAGUCAUGCUUAAUAUUGAAUAUCUUAUGUUUGAAGAUUGACAAUGGAGAACAUUUGAGCUUUUAAAUUUGAUCCUGAUUUUGAUCCUGAUUCUUAAACCUUAGUAAAUACGGGGCCUGAUGAUUGUCAAGAAUUAUUAGAUAGCCAUACUUUUGCACCUUAAAUUAAACAUUUCCCUUUUAAGUCAAAACACAAAAACUGCAAACAUAUGACUUUUGUCAAAUAUACAGUUUUAUUUUUCAUGGUAUAAUGGUAUAACUUUGUAUACGCUUGCUUGAAUUACACGUGACGUUUUGUCUAUAUAUAAGCAUUCUAUGAAAUAGCAUGUUCUCAUAUUGACGGAAGCGACACUGCUGUGAAGUGAUAUAUACCAGAUUCCUUAAAAUGGCGGUGUUUGUUUGGCUUGUAAUAUUCUUUUCUUUCCUGUCAAUUUCAAAUGCAAAUACAUCGAAAGCUUGCUGGGCCGGCUUGCAAAAACAAGAAUGUGUGUAUGACACAGUCUUGCAAGGGCGAGAGGGACUAAUGAUAAGCUACUUUUUAAGCAUUCCAUUUUCUCGGAUUUGCUGUGAAGCCCUAAGUUGUACCCUGGAGACAGGGAGGUGUGAGUUCCAAUAUGCCGGAUGCCAUGAUAAUAGCACAGCUAAUAUCCAGACUCGUCCAAGACUUUGGGAGCUCCAAAACAUACCUACAAUGAUGCGGUGUACCGAUGUGCAAGGCAAGGGUGCAUUUUAUUGGUUUUGGGCCCAGAUUGUGCAGGACGAAACCCUUAUGUGAUUAAGAAACAAUCAUUAAAAGACGUUUUGAUUUUCGAACAAAAUGUUAUGAAGUUAACAAUAAAAUGCAUUUAAGAUGAAUGUGACGACAGAUAAAACGUAUGAAUAUUCAUUAACUAAAACAAACGCUUACCUAAUAUAAAAUUUCACAUUUGCUCCGUUUCUUUUUAGAUAUGUUUACAAUCGAAUAUUUAUUAAUUAAAAUCAUACCGACUUUUUAACAAUUUCAAUUUGAUCGUGUCGGACGAUCUCCGAGGUGUAAUAUUUCCUCCAUAUUUAUAAGAUCAACCAACUGGGUAAAACAAUCAUCACACCAUUUGUUUCUUUAUAUGUGUAUGAAACGAGUCAGCACUAGCUGGGGCAACUUCGUGAGAUGUUUAUGUCAAGGCCGUCGGGGCGUGACGAGGUUUUGUUUUUGCAGAAACAUCCCGAGAUGUCGCCCAGCCAAUGUUAUCUCGCGUAACUAACGAGUUAUAUAUAUUAUAACUGUUUUAUCGUAAUUUCAUAAUUUUUAACAGAAAUCAGCAAAAAUUACUAUGUUCAGUGAUUUUCCUUUUCUUGUGCCCUUUCUCGUUUGUUUCAAAUCUAAUCCCUUGCAAAAAUAAAUCAAUACCAGCUAAUAAAUGUUGUUUUUUUUGUGCUACUAGGGAUAUGUGAUACCUCUAUCCCAUUUAAACUCUGUAAAAAACUACACUGAUAUAUAACAGGUGCACAAAGACUCAACUGUUACAUAUAAUACACGAAAAAAACAGCACUGUUAUAUAUCAAUUAUACAGUUUCGAAAUCUUUAUUGAAAAUGAACUGAAUAGCAUGGGUUAGUAAGAACAAAGAAAAAAAUCCUAACCAUGCAAUUAAAGCCUUUUACUCCGUGUUUUAAAGAUUUUCUUGGUUCUUUCUAGCCCAUUGUAUUCCCCUGAUAUCAGAAACAUCCCUCGAUGUCUCCCCAGCAAGUGUUAUACCCUUGUAUGUAGCUCGU